GAGAAGCUUCGACUAAGGUUCGAUUCGAGCGAAAGCGAGAAAGCGUUGCCGCAGGCAACGACCCGAAGGGCGAAACGCGCAGCGCUGAGUCAUCCUUCCCCCACCACCA
rnacentral:sRNA from 1 species